CAUGGGUACAUGAAGGACUCAAAGGGGAAAAGGAAAACGUGCAAAGAUAAGGUUAGAGAACUGUGGUGGCGUGCCGAAGUAAAUAACGAGCGACCGACCGGUGAAUAUAGUUAGAGACACCUCCGAACAAAUAGCGACUUAAUAUCUUGUUGUUUCCAGCUAUGUGCGGAUGUAGGGAGUGCAUAUGAGCUGAGGACCGGUGGGGGAUUCUAGCCGUGUGCGGAUGUAGGGAGUGCACAUGAGCUGAUGAUGACCUUGCUAUGUGCGAGUAAGGAGUGCACAUGAUGAUGAUGAUGAU